AUAUAUAGCUUCUAGGGUUCCGGUUUAAUUCAGGGAAGUUAAACGACUGGUCCAAGAGAAGCAACCAGUUUCACAAAAACUGGCACACGGCGGGAAAAAAGCCCGGGAGGU
rnacentral:sRNA from 2 species